UACGUAGGGGGCAAGCGUUGUCCGGAUUUAUUGGGCGUAAAGAGCGUGUAGGCGCCAGACAGGUCCGUUGUGAAAACUCGAGGCUCAACCUCGAGACGCCGAUGGAAACCGUCUGGCUAGAGUCCGGAAGAGGAGAGUGGAAUUCCUGGUGUAGCGGUGAAAUGCGCAGAUAUCAGGAAGAACACCCGUGGCUAAGGCGGCUCUCUAGUACGGUACUGACGCUGAGACGCGAAAGCGUGGGGAGCGAACAGG
rnacentral:rRNA from 1 species